rnacentral:rRNA from 1 species
UGGGGAUAGAACAUUGCAAUUAUUGUUCUUCAACGAGGAAUGCCUAGUAAGCGCGAGUCAUCAUCUCGCGUUGAUUACGUCCCUGCCCUUUGUACACACCGCCCGUCGCUCCUACCGAUUGAACGUGCUGGUGAAGCGUUAGGACUGGAACUUUGGGCCGGUUUCCCUGCCCAUCGUUUCGGGAAUUUCGUUGAACCCUCCCGUUUAGAGGAAGGAGAAGUCGUAACAAGGUCUCCGUAGGUGAACCUGCGGAGGGAUCAUUGAAACCGAUCAAACCAAUCACAGAGCACCUGCGGGCGCGUUCCGUCCCCUCUCGGGGGCGGGCGUGUCCGCCGUUUACAGGAACCGCCGGCGCGGACGUCGCUACCCCCUCUCCGGGGGGGGGGAGGGGCGCCCGGUCGGAUUGGUCCCCUCUAACCCAUCUAACCCUCUGCCCUGAAGCAGCUUCGUACGGGGACACCCCUGCGAUUCUAACUGAGACAACUCUCAACAACGGAUAUCUUGGCUCUCGCAACGAUGAAGAACGCAGCGAAAUGCGAUACGUAGUGUGAAUUGCAGAAUUCCGUGAGUCAUCGAAUCUUUGAACGCACAUUGCCGGUCGACUCUUCGGAGGAGACCACAUCUGCCUCAGCGUCGGAAUACCCCCUCACGCACUCCCGCGUGGAACUGGCCCCCCCGGACCCCGGUCCGGGCUGGCUGAAAUGCAGAGGCCCGUGCGCGGCCCACUCGUGGCCCCGACUAGGUAGGUAGCUCGCUACUUCUAGGCGGAGGCUCGGCGCCGCGGACUUUGGGCCGGAAAGGAUACCAAACCAUUCAUUCGACCUGAGUUCAGGUGAGGCUA